CGCGCAGUCUUUGCGCACCUCUUGUUUUCUUAUCAUAUACUGUCCCGUCGUUGUUUACGCAGUUUCGGCACGCACUAUCGAUGGAUUGCAGCCAGUUUCGUGCCGGUCGCUGCUUAAUCCAGUUGUGUUUAGAUACUUAUAUCGUUUAUUCGGACUUCAAUAUUCUAAAUUUGUGUUAUACUCGAAGAUCAAUCGACUAUUUAUUUGUACUUUGCGACUAUAGUAAUUUGUUUGUUCGGAAAUGCCGGUUUUUGAUCGCGUUUGUUAUGUAUAUUACAAGUUACGUGAUAGUGGAUUUGAUAACAUUCUUCACUCGGCGUUGUGUUUGGUGUCGGUUUCUAAAUUAAUCGAAUAUAUAUCAUCCCCAUGUUGAUUCUCAUCAUUAAGAAAGAUCCAUCAGGCUCGUUUACAGCACUCGUUGUGCCUGGCAGUCCGAUAAGCUGUACACUGUAUUUGCACCUGCUUUGGAGUCUGAUGAAUCCUGCAUUGUAUUCGCUGUACCCCAUGGUCCGAUGAGUUCUUCAUUGACGUAAACGAUAACGCUACCCUUCUACGGUGCCCUAAAUGGGUGGAACUUCUACCGCUACCUUCGUACGGUGCCUUGAAUGGGAACUGGGAACUUGAACUGGAGAGGUUCCGUGGUACUGGUGGAAUUCGUAUUGAGGAUGAUGUUCUGUUUACUGAAGAUGGAUGUAUCAACUGGACUAAAAUACCCAGAACAGUCCAAGAAAUUGAAGAUUGGAUUGCCGGUGUUGAUGAUGAUUCCAAAUACGAUUGAAUGAAUUUACAACCUUUUGAAGCUGAUAUAGAUAUCAUUUUUAUGUAUUUUGUUAAAAGAUAUAAAAAGAGCAUUAUAUAAUUGCAUAUUAUUAUUCUGUUUUCAUGCAUGUUUUGUUAAAAAUUGUGUAUUAUUGAGAAAUUGAGUUUGUGAUUCUACAUGUUUCAAUAAAAUUGUUGUUUUAUAUUUUUAACUAUAAA